rnacentral:rRNA from 1 species
UUGAUCCUGGGUCAGAUUGUACAGCUGGACGGAAUGCUUUACACAUGCAAGUCGAACGGUAAAGGGGGCAACCCCUUGAGAGUGGCGAACGGGUGAGUAAUAUAUCGGAACGUGCCCAGUCGUGGGGGAUAACGUAGCGAAAGUUACGCUAAUACCGCAUACGAUCUACGGAUGAAAGCGGGGGACUCGCAAGAGCCUCGCGCGAUUGGAGCGGCCGAUAUCAGAUUAGGUAGUUGGUGGGGUAAAGGCUCACCAAGCCAACGAUCUGUAGCUGGUCUGAGAGGACGACCAGCCACACUGGAACUGAGACACGGUCCAGACUCCUACGGGAGGCAGCAGUGGGGAAUUUUGGACAAUGGACGCAAGUCUGAUCCAGCCAUUCCGCGUGCAGGAUGAAGGCCCUCGGGUUGUAAACUGCUUUUGUACGGAACGAAAAGGUUUCUAUUAAUACUAGGAGCUCAUGACGGUACCGUAAGAAUAAGCACCGGCUAACUACGUGCCAGCAGCCGCGGUAAUACGUAGGGUGCAAGCGUUAAUCGGAAUUACUGGGCGUAAAGCGUGCGCAGGCGGUUAUAUAAGACAGAUGUGAAAUCCCCGGGCUCAACCUGGGAACUGCAUUUGUGACUGUAUAGCUAGAGUACGGUAGAGGGGGAUGGAAUUCCGCGUGUAGCAGUGAAAUGCGUAGAUAUGCGGAGGAACACCGAUGGCGAAGGCAAUCCCCUGGACCUGUACUGACGCUCAUGCACGAAAGCGUGGGGGAGCAAACAGGAUUAGAUACCCUGGUAGUCCACGCCCUAAACGAUGUCAACUGGUUGUUGGGUCUUCACUGACUCAGUAACGAAGCUAACGCGUGAAGUUGACCGCCUGGGGAGUACGGCCGCAAGGUGAAACUCAAAGGAUUGACGGGNACCCGCACA